GAGGAUAUGGCUCAGUGGUAGGGUGCCUGCAUAGCAUACACGAUGUCCUGGGUUCAAUCCCCAGUACCUCCA
rnacentral:tRNA from 1 species